UACGGAGGGUGCGAGCGUUGUCCGGAAUCACUGGGCGUAAAGGGCGCGUAGGUGGCCUGUGGAAGUCUGCGGUGAAAGCCCGGCGCUCAACGCCGGGUCGGCCGUGGAUACUCUCGGGCUUGAGCUUACUAGAGGCAGAUGGAAUUCCGAGUGUAGAGGUGAAAUUCGUAGAUAUUCGGAAGAACACCAGUGGCGAAGGCGGCUCACUGGACCGGCAUUGACGCUGAGGUGCGAAAGCGUGGGGAGCAAACAGG
rnacentral:rRNA from 1 species